GAUGAACGCUGGCGGCGUGCCUAAUACAUGCAAGUCGAGCGAACAGACGAGGAGUUUGCUCCUCUGACGUUAGCGGCGGACGGGUGAGUAACACGUGGAUAACCUACCUAUAAGACUGGGAUAACUUCGGGAAACCGGAGCUAAUACCGGAUAAUAUAUUGAACCGCAUGGUUCAAUAGUGAAAGACGGUUUUGCUGUCACUUAUAGAUGGAUCCGCGCCGCAUUAGCUAGUUGGUAAGGUAACGGCUUACCAAGGCAACGAUGCGUAGCCGACCUGAGAGGGUGAUCGGCCACACUGGAACUGAGACACGGUCCAGACUCCUACGGGAGGCAGCAGUAGGGAAUCUUCCGCAAUGGGCGAAAGCGUGACGGAGCAACGCCGCGUGAGUGAUGAAGGUCUUCGGAUCGUAAAACUCUGUUAUUAGGGAAGAACAAAUGUGUAAGUAACUAUGCACGUCUUGACGGUACCUAAUCAGAAAGCCACGGCUAACUACGUG
rnacentral:rRNA from 1 species